AUUGAACGCUGGCGGCAUGCCUUACACAUGCAAGUCGAACGGUAACAGAUCUUCGGAUGCUGACGAGUGGCGAACGGGUGAGUAAUACAUCGGAACGUGCCUAGUAGUGGGGGAUAACUACUCGAAAGAGUGGCUAAUACCGCAUGAGAUCUACGGAUGAAAGCAGGGGAUUGCAAGACCUUGUGCUACUAGAGCGGCCGAUGGCAGAUUAGGUAGUUGGUGGGAUAAAAGCUUACCAAGCCGACGAUCUGUAGCUGGUCUGAGAGGACGAUCAGCCACACUGGGACUGAGACACGGCCCAGACUCCUACGGGAGGCAGCAGUGGGGAAUUUUGGACAAUGGGCGCAAGCCUGAUCCAGCAAUGCCGCGUGCAAGAAGAAGGCCUUCGGGUUGUAAACUGCUUUUGUACGGAACGAAACGGUCCUGGUUAAUACCUGGGGCUAAUGACGGUACCGUAAGAAUAAGCACCGGCUAACUACGUGCCAGCCGCCGCCGUAAGAC
rnacentral:rRNA from 1 species